rnacentral:lncRNA from 1 species
UCGGCUCACUGCAAUCUCCACCUCCCCAGGUUCAAGCAAUUCUCCUGCCUCAGCCUCCCGAGUAGCUGGGAUUACAGGCACCCGCCACCAAGCCCAGCUAAUUUUUUGUAUUUUUUUUAGUAGAAACGGGGUUUCACUGUGUUAGCCAGGAUGGUCUCGAUCUGACCUCAUGAUCCACCCGCCUCAGUCUCCCAAAGUGCUGGGAUUACAGGCGUGAGCCAGGGCGCCCAGCCUGAGUCAUUUUUUAAUCAGAUAACUCCAGAGCAUCCCACUCACUUCCUUCAAGUAUGUACUGCCUCUCAAUCUCACAAUCUCAUGCAUGUAAUGAGGAUCUAGAGAGUUUUUUCACCGGAGGAAGGGUCAGGGAAGGCAAAGAGCAUUACCAGUAAGGUCAGAGGGCACUAGGUACUUCCUCUUGUCCAGAUCAGGCACCCUGGCUUUUGGAGCCUUCUCUACAAUCACCUGGAAGAAGAGGAGGAGAGUAGGAAUGAAAACUACAGAAGGCAAUCUAGUAUUUUUCCUUCUACACCCUAGAGUUGCCUAGUUACUACUGGAAAUGAAUCUGUCUAGGCCCAGGACACCUGUUUCAUUUCUUAUCCCCCCACCCCUUAUAAAAUUAUACAAAAAAAAUAGGCUUCAUGAGGUUAUAGCUGCAUUACUAA